CUCCCCACCGCGCCGCCCACCACGUGCGUCUCCCAACUACGCCGCUGCCGCCGCUGCCGCCACCACCGCUGCCGCCGCCCUCCUGCGCUGUUGCGAAGGAGGCACCCACCGCCGCCCACCUGCGCAGCUCAACAACCGCCGACCCACCUCGCCCACCGCGGCCCACAGCUGGACCACCUCCUCCCCGAGGAGACCAGGAACUCCGCCUCGCCGAGAGCUACGCCAUCCUCGAGCCGCGCUUGCUGGGGAGCCGUGGAUCGACGGAAUCGCUCCCAUCUCCUCCCACUCGCGCCUCCCCUAUCUUCCCCGAUCCGUUCAAAAGAAUCAGGGUGCCCCGCCGGUGUAGUGGUCCGCCGCUCGCCACCUCCCCCCCUCUCGAUUGCUUGCUAUGCAGCCUGGGCGUCGUGGUCCACCGCUCGCCGCCGCUGGACGGCUGGAGGUCGUCGGCACCCAAGUACCGCCCAUGCUCUGGCGCUUGCACGCCGCCGGCCCUGCCCCAUCCCACCCUCCGCCACCACCUCCCCCACCCCGAGCCUUCCAGUUUGAGCUCCGCCUCGACCUCAUCCCUGCUGACGUCAUCUUCCCUGAACCAAGGAAGCCCUCAUCUGAUACGCUCUCGUCCGCGACGUGCUUCUCCAACCAUUGGUACGCGACGGUGGUUCGGUCCGGGAGGUGGCUCUUGCAAUCCUGGCGUCGCCGUAGCGGUGGUUCCAUUCCGGCGGCAUCAGGGGAGCACACAACGUCCAUGAGCAGCAAGCAGAGCCGGCCAAUGAUGCAGCAGCGCUGGCCAUGAGGAGACGCCUGCCGUGGCGGACGCGGAGACAACAACCAUGGGCGUGGAAGACGGUUUUGGAUCCUGUGAGCCACCGCCGCUGCCUCGUCGUCAAGCAACGUGGGCCUUCUGCUGCUCCAUGUCCAACAAGUCACCCACGCGUCAGUGUGGCAUUGCUAGAUCCAGCUUCCCCCUGCAAUCGUCUCUGCCUCUAGCACUUGCACGCAAUCGUGCUGGUGAGGCUCUUCAUGUUUACUUUGUUCUGCUUGUAACAUGGCCUAUACGCACAAAUAUUUUGCAUCAUCUGAACAAAUGAUGGUUUCUGUAGUUCAAGAUCAAAGGCAAGAACAGCCAAAUAUGAUGACGAGAACAAGGCUAAUGAUGGAGAACCUUCAUCUAUCGAAGCUGAGCAGUCUAUUGGGAUACUAAGUUUCAAUGCGCAUCCUAAGUUUCAGUUACCUGAAAUCAAGGCCAGUUUCAGUCAAUGCCGAAGUAAACUACCACAUGAGUUUUCUGCCACGUAAUCGAUGAUGCACUUCACAUGACAGAAUUGUUUGUUAAAGGAACUUUUGGCAAGAAAUACACAAUCGUGUCAUUCAGUGCUGGACCUCUGUUAUUGGCAAGAAAUACACUAAUGUGUAGCUCACUGCUGAGGGAACAUCAAAUUCGUCUAAUACUUGUUCUCGCAUGUAGAAGUAAAAUGCUCUUUCAGAAUUCAGUUAUCACUGAUCAAUAUAUUCUUCAGUUUAGCAAACUAUGAUUAAUUGCUCUUUAUGCUAAUAUGAAGAAGUUUAGAACCAUAUGUAUUCUGAACAUUGGCAAGUCCGCUUACAUAAAUCCUUCUAUUUUGCCAUUGCAACGAGAGAGAAAAAUAUAUACAUGCAGUGCCAAUGGAGAACUUGGCCCAAUUGAUAAUAUACCCAUUUUGGGCACUAUACAUCUAUUUCA